AUUUGAGAUUGAUUCUUCGGAUGAUUUCUCUUAUGACUUAGUGGCGGACGGGUGAGUAACGCGUGGGUAACCUGCCUCACACAGGGGGAUAACAGUUGGAAACGACCGCUAAUACCGCAUAACCCGCUAGGGCCGCAUGGCCCGGACGGAAAAGAUUUAUCGGUGUGAGAUGGACCCGCGUUGGAUUAGCUAGUUGGCAGGGUAACGGCCUACCAAGGCGACGAUCCAUAGCCGGCCUGAGAGGGUGAACGGCCACAUUGGGACUGAGACACGGCCCAAACUCC
rnacentral:rRNA from 1 species